CCCUUAGAUGUCCUGGGCUGCACGCGCGCUACACUGGAAGUUACGGAUUGAGAUACUACCUUGUCCGAAAUGGUCCGGGUAAUCACCUAAAAGCUUGUCAUAAUUGGAAUGGAUUAUUGUAACUAGUAAUCCUGAACGAGGAAUUCCUAAUAAGUCCCAGUCAACAGCUGGUACUGAUUACGUCCCUGCCCUUUGUACACACCGCCCGUCGCUACUACUGAUUGGACGUUUAAGCAAGAUUUUUAAACACUGACAGUGUGUAGUUCACGCUAUACUACAGUGAGAAGAAGAAGAUCGAGCUUACUUGUCUAGAGGAAGUAAAAGUCGUAACA
rnacentral:rRNA from 1 species